AUUGAACGCUGGCGGCAUGCCUUACACAUGCAAGUCGAACGGUAACGCGGGGCAACCUGGCGACGAGUGGCGAACGGGUGAGUAAUGCAUCGGAACGUGCCUGGUAGUGGGGGAUAACUGCUCGAAAGAGCAGCUAAUACCGCAUACGACCUGAGGGUGAAAGGGGGGGAUCGCAAGACCUCUCGCUAUCAGAGCGGCCGAUGUCGGAUUAGCUAGUUGGUGGGGUAAAGGCCCACCAAGGCGACGAUCCGUAGCUGGCCUGAGAGGACGACCAGCCACACUGGGACUGAGACACGGCCCAGACUCCUACGGGAGGCAACAGUGGGGAAUUUUGGACAAUGGACGCAAGUCUGAUCCAGCCAUGCCGCGUGCGGGAAGAAGGCCUUCGGGUUGUAAACCGCUUUUGUCAGGGAAGAAAUCUUCUGGGUUAAUACCUCGGGAGGAUGACGGUACCUGAAGAAUAAGCACCGGCUAACUACGUGCCAGCAGCCGCCGUAAAAC
rnacentral:rRNA from 1 species